AAUAAAUUAAAACUUUUAAUAACGGAUCUCUUAGCUCUAGUAUCGAUGAAGAACGUAGUAAAACGCGAUAAAUAAUAUGAAUUGCAGAAUUUAGUGAAUUAUUGAAUCUUUAAACGCAUAUUACGCCCGCUAGUAUUCUGGCGGGUAUACCUAUCUGAGCGUUAUUAUAACCCUUAGGCCCCCGGGCCUAGUAUUAGGGAUCGGCGGAGCCCUCUGGGGCACAUGCCGUCCCCUAAAUUCAGUGGCGGUCUCGCUGCAGCCUCCAUUACGUAGUAGCUAAUACCUCGCAACUAGAAGGCGGCGCGGCCACGCUAUAAAACCCCCUAACUUCUGAAUAUUGACCUCGGAUUAGGUAGGAAUACCCGCUGAACUUAAGCAUAUUAAUAAGCGGAGGAAAAGAAACUAACAGGGAUUACCUUAAUAACGGCGAGUAAAGCGGCAAUAGCUUAAAUUUAAAAUCUAGCUCUCGGGCCCGAGUUAUAAUUUAUAGAGGAUGCUUUUAGUGCGGUGCCUUCCGAGUUCCCUAGAACGGGACGCUAUAGAGGGUGAGAGCCCCGUCUAGUUAGAUGCUAAUCCUCUAUAAAGCUCCUUUGAUGAGUCGAGUAGUUUAGGAAUAUUGCUCUAAAUGGGAGGUAUAUAUCUUCUAAAGCUAAAUACCGGCUAGAGACCGAUAGCGCAUAAAUAGAGUGAUCGAAAGAUAAAAAGAACUUUAAAAAGAGAGUUAAAAAGUACGUGAAAUUAUUGAAAGGGAAGCGCUUAUGACUAGACUUAGGCUUAGUUGAUCAUCCAGGGUUCUCCCUAGUGCACUCUUCUGGCCUAGGCUAGUAUCAGUUUACCCCGGGGGAUAAAGGCAUCGGGAAUAUGGCUCCCUCCGGGGAGUAUUAUAGCCCGGCGCGUAAUACCCUAAGGCGGACUAAGGUUCGCGCAUUCGUAAGGAUACUAGCGUAAUAGUUAUUAGUGACCCGUCUUAAAAUACGGACCAAGGAGUCGUCUUUAUAUACGAGUAUUCGGGUGUUAAACCCCUACGCGUAAUAAAAGUAAACGUAGGUGAGAGCUUCGGCGCAUUAUCGACCGAUCCUGAUAUUUUCGGAUGGAUUUAAGUAAGAGCAUAUGGGGCCGGACCUAAAAGAAGGUGAACUAUACCUAUAUAAGGUAAAGCCAGAGGAAACUCUAGUGGAGGCUCGCAGCGGUUCUAACGUGUAAAUCGAUCGUUAAAUAUAGGCAUAGGGGCGAAAGACUAAUUGAACCUUCUAGUAGCUAGUUUCCGCCGAAGUUUCCCUUAGGAUAGCAGUAUUGAACUCAGUUUUAUGAGGUAAAGCGAAUAAUUAGGGACUCAGGGGCGCUAUUUAGCCUUCAUCCAUUCUCAAACUUUAAAUAUAUAAGAAGCCCUUAUUUCUUAACUAAACGUGGGCAUUCGAAUAAAUUAAUACUAAUAGGCCAUUUUUAGUAAGCAGAACUAGCGAUGCGGGAUAAACCGAACGCGAGGUUAAGGUGCCAGAAUAGACGCUCAUUAGACACCACAAAAGGUAUUAGUACAUCUUAACAGCAGGACGGUAGCCAUAGAAGUCGGAAUCCGCUAAGGACUAUGUAAUAACUCACCUGCCGAAUAUACUAGCCCUGAAAAUAGAUAGCGCUUAAGCGUCUCACCUAUACCUCGCCCUUAGGGUAGAAAUAAUACCCUAAGGAGUAGGCGGAUGUGGAGGUUAGUGACGAAGCCUAGGGCAUGAGCCCGGGUUAAACGGCCUCUAGUGUAGAUCUUAGUGGUAAUAGCAAAUACUUCAAUAAGAACUUAAAGGACCGAAGUGGGGAAAGGUUCUAUAUGAAUAGCGGUUGGACAUAGGUUAGUCGAUCCUAAGCUAUAGGGAAGUUCCGUUUUAAAGGUGCAUUAUGCACUAUCUGGCGAAAGGGGAGCCAGUUAAUAUUCCGGCACCUAGAUAUGGGUUUUACGCGGUAACGCAAUUAAACGCGGAGAUGACGGCGGGGGCCCCGGGUAGAGUUCUCUUUUCUUCUUAAUAGUCUCUCACCCUGAAAUCGGUUUAUCCGGAGCUAGGGUUUAAUAGCUAGAAGAGCCUAGCAUCUCUACUGGGUCCGGUACGCUCUCGAUAUCCCUUAAAAAUCCGCGGGAAGGAAUAAUUCUUACGCUAGGUCAUACUCAUAACCGCAGUAGGUCUCUAAGGUAAAUAGCCUCUAGUUAAUAGAAUAAUAUAGAUAAGGGAAGUCGGCAAAAUAGAUCUAUAACUUCAGGAAAAGGAUUGGCUCUAAGGGUUAGGCACGUAGGGCCUUAGGCGGACGCCAUAGGGGCAGGCUACUUCUAGCUAGGCAACUAGCCGGCGGCGGCCAGCACCUAUGCGCCGAUACCCUUAGCAGGCUUCGGCCAUCCGGCGUGCGGUUAACAACCAACUUAAAACUAAUACAGACAAGGGGAAUCUAAUUAUCUAAUUAAAAUAUAGUAUUACGAUAGCUAGAAAGUGGUAUUAACGCAAUAUGAUUUCUACCUAGUGCUCUAAAUGUUAAAGUGAAGUAAUUCAACCAAGCGCGGGUAAACGGCGGGAGUAACUAUAACUCUCUUAAGGUAGCUAAAUACCUCGUUAUCUAAUUAGUGACGCGCAUAAAUAGAUUAACGAGAUUCCCACUAUCCCUAUCUACUAUCUAGCGAAACCAUAGCUAAGGGAACGGGCUUAGUAGAAUCAAUAGGGAAAGAAGACCUUAUUAAGCUUAACUCUAAUUUAAUAUUAUAAAAAGAUAUAGGAGGUAUAGAAUAGGUAGGAGCUUCGGCGCCGGUGAAAUACCACUACUCCUAUUAUUUUUUUACUUAUUUAAUAAAGCGGGGCUAGAUUUUCGUCCAACUUCUGGUUUUAAGGUCCUUCGCGGGCUGACCCAGGUUAAAGAUAUUAUUAGGUGGGGAGUUUAGCUAGAGCGGCAUAUCUAUUAAACUAUAACAUAGGUAUCCUAAGGGGGGCUCAUAGAGAAUAGAAAUCUCUAAUAGAAUAAAAGGGUAAAAGUCCCCUUAAUUUUGAUUUUCAGUAUGAAUAUAAACCAUAAAAGUAUAGCCUAUCGAUCCUUUAAUCCCUCGAUAUUUAAGGCUAGAGGUACUAGAAAAGUUACCAUAGGGAUA
rnacentral:rRNA from 1 species